CCUACGGGUGGCAGCAGUGAGGAAUAUUGGUCAAUGGCCGUAAGGCUGAACCAGCCAAGUAGCGUGAGGGAAGACUGCCCUAUGGGUUGUAAACCUCUUUUAUGCGGGGAUAAAGGUGUCCACGUGUGGAUGUUUGCAGGUACCGCAUGAAUAAGGACCGGCUAAUUCCGUGCCAUCAGCCGCGGUAAUACGGAAGGUCCGGGCGUUAUCCGGAUUUUAUUGGUUUAAAGGGAGCGUAGGCCGGUCUUUAAGCGUGCCGUGAAAUUUUGGGGCUCAACCAUGAGAGUGCGGAGCGAACUGGAGGCCUUGAGUGCGCGGAAGGCAGGCGGAAUUCGUGGUGUAGCGGUGAAAUGCUUAGAUAUCACGAAGAACCCCGAUUGCGAAGGCAGCCUGCCGCAGCGUUACUGACGCUGAAGCUCGAAAGCGCGGGUAUCGAACAGGAUUAGAUACCCCGGUAGUC
rnacentral:rRNA from 1 species